rnacentral:rRNA from 1 species
UACAGAGGGUGCGAGCGCUAAUCGGAAUGACUGGGCGUAAAGGGCGUGUAGGUGGUUUAAUAAGUUAGGUGCGAAAGUCCUGGGCUUAACCUGGGGAGGUCGCUUAAGACUGUUAAGCUAGAGUACUGUGGAGGAAGGUGGAAUUUCCGGUGUAGCAGUGAAAUGCGUAGAUAUCGGAAGGAACAUCAGUGGCGAAGGCGACUUUCUGGACAGAUACUGACACUCAGACACGAAAGCGUGGGGAGCAAGCAGG